AUAUUCUGUAUGACUGUUGAAAAUUUCAACUUUUAGAGGAUGACCAAGAGGCAAGCCUCUCUUAACAUGAUCGGCUUCUUGCAACGGUGUAAGCGAUGGUUGUAGUUCUGUUAUCAAAAUGGGGAGAGUUCCUUUCAAUUGUGCAAACUCACGAACAUUUAAGAAGUAAAAAGAAUUUUUUUCAGGCUCAUUCUUCAUCAUAAAUCUUGGCUUAUCAGUAUGUUGUCUCAAAAGACCUUCAAUGACCACUGGACCUUUAGGUAAAGAACUAGGAUCUCGAGAAGACUGUUCAGCAAAUGAUCGAGCAAUCCAUCCUCUGUUGACUAAAAUUCGACGCCCAUCGUCUAAAAUAAAUGGGGU